GAGAAGGCUAAAGGGAGCGGAAGAACCUCCGUUAAGGAACUAGGCAAAAUGACCUCGUAACUUCGGGAAAAGAGGUGCUCCCAAAGGUGUCAAAACCGGAAGGAGUUGCAGUGACAAGGCCCUGCCGACUGUUUACCAAAAACACAGGUCUAUGCGAAUUCGGAAGGAAGAAGUAUAUGGACUGACGCCUGCCCAGUGCUGGAAGGUUAAGGGGAGUGGUGCAAGCUACGAACCGAAGCCCCAGUAAACGGCGGCCGUAACAAUAACGGUCCUAAGGUAGCGAAAUUCCUUGUCGGGUAAGUUCCGACCUGCAUGAAUGGCGUAACGAGUUGGGCGCUGUCUCAACGGAGGAUCCGGUGAAAUUCCAGACUGGGUGAAGAUGCCCAGGACCCGCAGUUAGACGGAAAGACCCCAUGGAGUUUUACUGUAACUUGAUAUUGUAAUUUGUUGUUAUGUGUACAGGAUAGGUGGGAGGCGGAGAAUCAAGGUCGUCAGAUUUUGAGGAGCCGACGGUGGGAUACCACCCUCAUGAUAAUGGAUUACUAACUAUUGUGUAUAAAGAGUACAGAUAGGACAGUGUUAGGUGGGCAGUUUGACUGGGGCGGUCGCAUCCUAAAGAGUAUCGGAUGCGUGCGAAGGUAGGCUCAGGUUGGUUGGAAAUCAACCGUUGAGUGCAAGGGCAAAAGCCUGCCUGACUGCGAGACUGACAGGUCGAGCAGAAGCGAAAGCUGGUCCUAGUGACCCGGCCGAUCCGAGUGGAAGGGCGGUCGAUCAACGGAUAAAAGUUACCCUGGGGAUAACAGGCUAAUCACGCCCGAGAGUUCACAUCGACGGCGUGGAUUGGCACCUGGAUGUCGGCUCAUCGCAUCCUGGGGCUGAAGCAGGUCCCAAGGGUUGUGCUGUUCGCACAUUAAAGCGGUACGUGAGCUGGGUUCAGAACGUCGUAAGACAGUUCGGUCCCUAUCUGCUGUGGGUGAAGGAAGCUUGAAGGGAGUCGCUUCUAGUACGAGAGGACCGAAGUGAGUGUACCUCUGGUGAACCAGCUGUCAGGCCAAUGGCAGGAGCUGGGUAGCUAAGUACGUAACAGAUAACCGCUGAAAGCAUCUAAGCGGGAAACUGACCCUAAGAUGGAGCUUCCCAUUCGUAAGAAGUAAGGGUUGUUCGAGACUAGGACGUUGAUAGGUCGCAGGUGUAAGUGCAGCGAUGCAUUGAGCCGAGCGAUACUAAUAGCCCGAGGCUUUGGACUA
rnacentral:rRNA from 1 species